rnacentral:rRNA from 1 species
GGGCCCGCACAAGCAGUGGAGCAUGUGGUUUAAUUCGAUGCAACGCGAAGAACCUUACCAGGGCUUGACAUACUACAAAUCUUUUAGAGAUAGAAGAGUGCUUUCGAGAAUGUAGAUACAGGUAGUGCAUGGCUGUCGUCAGCUCGUGUCGUGAGAUGUUGGGUUAAGUCCCGCAACGAGCGCAACCCUCGUUUUUAGUUGCCAAUUUAUUGGUUUUUUAGAAAGACUGCCGGUGACAAACCGGAGGAAGGUGAGGAUGACGUCAAGUCAGCAUGCUCCUUAUGUCCUGGGCUACACACGUGCUACAAUGAUGAGGACAAAGAGUCGCCAAUCUGCGAAGACGAGCUAAUCUCGUAAACCUCAUCCAAGUUCGGAUUGUAGGCUGCAACUCGCCUGCAUG